GAUGAACGCUGGCGGCGUGCUUAACACAUGCAAGUCGAGCGAGAAGUUUUGAAAAGAUUCUUCGGAUGAAAUUUAAAAUGGAAAGCGGCGGACGGGUGAGCAACGCGUAGGCAACCUGCCCCAUACAAAGGGAUAGCAUUUGGAAACGAAUAUUAAUACCUUAUGAAACUUACUAGUGCAUGCUAGGUAGGUCAAAGAUUUAUCGGUAUGGGAUGGGCCUGCGUCUGAUUAGCUAGUUGGUGAGGUAACGGCUCACCAAGGCGACGAUCAGUAGCCGACCUGAGAGGGUGAACGGCCACAUUGGAACUGAGACACGGUCCAAACUCCUACGGGAGGCAGCAGUGGGGAAUAUUGCACAAUGGGGGAAACCCUGAUGCAGCAACGCCGCGUGAACGAUGAAGGCCUUUGGGUCGUAAAGUUCUGUUCUAGGUGAUGAAAACUGACAGUAACCUAGGAGAAAGCCCCGGCUAACUCCGUG
rnacentral:rRNA from 1 species